rnacentral:lncRNA from 1 species
AGAGGGCAGAGGGACAAUGAUCCCAAAGCCAUGGAGUUCCCUGGAGCUGGGAAAACAGGGAAUGGUCCUGGAAUACUUGGGAAGGUGACACUGGUUUGUCACCUCGAGCAGAGGAGAAGAGCUGGAUCCCGAGUUUCCCUGGAUUGGAUCCCAGUUUUCCUUGGACACAUCCCUGCUCUGGGAUGCUCCAGGGGCCAGGGGGACAAUGAUCCCAAAGCCAUGGAGUUCCCCGGAGCCGGGAAAACAGGGAAUAGUCCUGGAACACUUGGGAAGGUGACACUGGUUUGUCACCUCAGUCAGAGAAGUGAAGUGCCUGAUUUCCCUGGAUUUUAUCCCGGUUUUCCUUGGACACAUCCUUGCCCUGGGAUGCUCCAGAGGGCAGAGGGACAAUGAUCCCAAAACCAUGGAGUUCCCUGGAGCUGGGAAAACAGGUAGGGAAUGGUCCUGGAAUACUUGGGAAGGUGACACUGGUUUGUCACCUCAAGCAGAGAAGUGACGUGCCAGGUUUUCCCUGGAUGGGAUCCCGGUUUUCCUUGGACACAUCCCUGCUCUGGGAUGCUCCAGGAGGGCAGAGGGACAAUGAUCCCAAAGCCAUGGAGUUCCCUGGAGCCGGGAAAACAGGGAAUGGUCCUGGAAUACUUGGGAAGGUGACACUGGUUUGUCACCUCAGUCAGAGAAGAGCUGGAUCCCGAGUUUCCCUGGAUGAGAUCCCGGUUUUCCUUGGCUGCAUCCCCCUCUCCUGGAGCUGGGAGGUCUGGCUGAGUCCCAGCAGGACACGCCAGGGCUUGGAUCCUUCCCAGGCCCGGCUUUGGCAGGAGCAGCUCCAGGAAAUCUCCGGAGCUCCGCGAGC